rnacentral:rRNA from 1 species
CCCUUAGACGUUCUGGGUCGCACGCGCGCUACACUGACCAGUGCAACAAGCAUCCGUCCUUGGCCGACAGGCCCGGGCAAUCUUUGAACGCUGGUCGUGAUGGGGAUAGACUUUUGCAAUUUUUGGUCUUCAACGAGGAAUUCCUAGUAAACGCAAGUCAUCAACUUGCAUUGAUUACGUCCCUGCCCUUUGUACACACCGCCCGUCGCACCUACCGAUUGAAUGGUCCGGUGAAGCCUCCGGAUUGGCGCGCACCUCGGUGCCGCCGAGAAGUUGGCUAAACCUUACCAUUUAGAGGAAGGUGAANUCGUANCA